rnacentral:rRNA from 1 species
CCUGACGCAGCGACGCCGCGUGGGUGAUGAAGGCCUUCGGGUUGUAAAGCCCUGUGGGGAGAGACGAAUAAGUGCAUCCUAAUACGGUGCAUGAUGACGGUAUCUCCUUAGCAAGCACCGGCUAACUCUGUGCCAGCAGCCGCGGUAAGACAGAGGGUGCAAACGUUGUUCGGAAUUACUGGGCGUAAAGCGUGUGUAGGCGGUCUUGUAAGUCGGAUGUGAAAGCCCCGGGCUCAACCCGGGAAGUGCACUCGAUACUGCGAGACUUGAGUAUCGGAGAGGUUGGUGGAAUUCUCGGUGUAGAGGUGAAAUUCGUAGAUAUCGAGAGGAACACCGGUGGCGAAAGCGGCCAACUGGACGAAUACUGACGCUGAGACACGAAAGCGUGGGGAGCAAACAGGAUUAGAUACCCUGGUAGUCCACGCCGUAAACGAUGGGUGCUAGGUGCUGCGGGCUUUGACUCCUGCGGUGCCGUAGCUAACGCAUUAAGCACCCCGCCUGGGAAGUACGGCCGCAAGGCUAAAACUCAAAUGAAUUGACGG